CCGGUGACACCGCCCAGCAGCCCGCCUUCGCCCCGCUCCCCCCGCCAUUCCCUGGCCGCUUUCCCCGCCCCGCCGGCGAGGCCGAUUCUUUGUAUGCCCACAGCUGUUGACUGCUGCUGAAAGAAGCAGGAGGGAAAAGAAGACUACAAACACAUUCAUCAGUAGCCACAGCCUGAGGAAGCAAGUCUAAUUGAACUUCUUAAUGCUGUUCAAGCAGAGACUGCCAAUCCCAACAUGCCAUACGCAGCUCUGUAGUGAAGACUGAGAUGAAGUGGGGCUGGUGGCUUUUAUUUCUUGCCCUGCUCAUACAGAAUUCUGUCUUUCUAAUUUUCAUGAAAUUGAAAUAAGAUUCUUCUGCUCUAAUCAAAAGAAGAUGCCUGACAGUUCCCUGUGUAAACAUACUGUAAACAACUGUGGGUAAUUGUUCUUUAUUUUCUUUUGUUGUUUACUUCAUUUCAGUUUUCUCUACUAAUCUGUUUUAUACAGCACUGUACAAAGUAGUAAUCAAAGAAAUGGAAAUACAUUCAACAUCUGCACUUUUUGUUUUCCAAAUAAGAAAUAAUUUCAGACUGUA